UUGAAUUUCGGGGUUAGUUGGUUGGUCAUGCCUCUGGUAUGUACUGGUCUUCUACUUGAUUCCUCUUCUGAUGAACCGUAAUGUCCUUAAUUUGGUGNUAGCGGGGAAUUUGGACUGUUACUUUAGAAAAAUUAGAGUAGUUAAAGCAAGCUAACGCUUGAAUACAUUAGCAUGGAAUAAUGAAAUAGGACGUUCGAUCCUAUUUUGUUGGUUUCUAGGAUUGACGUAAUGAUUAAUAGGGAUAGUUGGGGGCAUUAGUAUUCAAUUGUCAGAGGUGAAAUUCUUGGAUUUAUUGAAGACCAACUACUGCGAAAGCAUUUGCCAAGGAUGUUUUCAUUAAUCAAGAACGAAAGUUAGGGGAUCGAAGACGAUCAGAUACCGUCGUAGUCUUAACCAUAAACUAUGCCGACUAGGGAUCGGAUGAUGUUAAUUUUUAAUGACUC
rnacentral:rRNA from 1 species